AGGGACUGCUCUAGCAUUAUCCGCCCGGCCCAGUCAAACUCUUCACCUAAUUACGGAAACUCUCAAUGAAGGAGGUUAUUUUUAGCUGUUUAACUACCGCCUGGCGCUGCUGCAGCUCUGCGGCUCGUCGAGGCGGAGACACCGAGACAGAUCCGUGUUCUCACGCUCUGUGCUGGAACGGAGAACUUUUUAAGGUGCCCCAGAACUCGCCGGAGGGUCUUUUGAUGAUUUUCUCUUUCUGUGCAGGAUUCCUCCCCGUGACCACGCCAUCCGUCCGGAGGUACAGCCCUGAGGAACGUUAGCGUGGAGAAGAGGAGGAGGAGGAGGAGGAGGAGGAGGAGCUGAACACUGUUAUAGUUUUAAAGUUCAACAAACUUUCAUAUCUUUCUCUCUGUCUCCUUUCUCUUGCUCCCUGUCACUCUCCCUCUAUCUAUCUAUCUAUCUAUCUAUCU
ensembl:lncRNA